rnacentral:rRNA from 1 species
GAGUUUGAUCAUGGCUCAGAUUGAACGCUGGCGGCAGGCCUAACACAUGCAAGUCGAGCGGAAACAGAGAGUAACUUGUUACUCUGCUGUCGAGCGGCGGACGGGUGAGUAAUGCUUGGGAAACUGCCCAGUCGAGGGGGACAACCAUUGGAAACGAUGGCUAAUACCGCAUACGCCCUACGGGGGAAAGAAGGGGACUCUUCGGAGCCUUUCGCGAUUGGAUGUGCCCAAGUGGGAUUAGCUAGUUGGUGAGGUAAAGGCUCACCAAGGCAACGAUCCCUAGCUGGUUUGAGAGGAUGAUCAGCCACACUGGAACUGAGACACGGUCCAGACUCCUACGGGAGGCAGCAGUGGGGAAUAUUGCACAAUGGGCGCAAGCCUGAUGCAGCCAUGCCGCGUGUAUGAAGAAGGCCUUCGGGUUGUAAAGUACUUUCAGCGAGGAGGAAAGGUUAGUAGUUAAUAACUGCUAGCUGUGACGUUACUCGCAGAAGAAGGACCGGCUAACUCCGUGCCAGCAGCCGCGGUAAUACGGAGGGUCCGAGCGUUAAUCGGAAUUACUGGGCGUAAAGCGUACGCAGGCGGUUUGUUAAGCGAGAUGUGAAAGCCCCGGGCUCAACCUGGGAACUGCAUUUCGAACUGACAAACUAGAGUUUUGUAGAGGGUGGUAGAAUUUCAGGUGUACGGUGAAAUGCGUAGAGAUCUGAAGGAAUACCAGUGGCGAAGGCGGCCACCUGGACAAUAACUGACGCUCAUGUACGAAAGCGUGGGGAGCAAACGGGAUUAGAUACCCCGGUAGUCCACGCCGUAAACGAUGUCAACUAGCCGACUGAAGCCUUGAGCUUUGGGUGGCGCAGCUAACGCAUUAAGUUGACCGCCUGGGGAGUACGGCCGCAAGGUUAAAACUCAAAGGAAUUGACGGG